rnacentral:rRNA from 1 species
CACGUAGGCACCAAGCGUUGUUCGGAUUCAUUGGGCGUAAAGGGUGCGUAGGCGGCGCGGUAAGUCGGGUGUGAAAUCUCGGAGCUUAACUCCGAAACUGCAUUCGAUACUGCCGUGCUUGAGGACUGGAGAGGAGACUGGAAUUUACGGUGUAGCGGUGAAAUGCGUAGAUAUCGUAAGGAAGACCAGUGGCGAAGGCGGGUCUCUGGACAGUUCCUGACGCUGAGGCACGAAGGCCAGGGGAGCAAACGGG